GUGUGUAUCGUGUGUUGGAUGAAUUCGUAGUGAUCAGUUAAUUGUGUCGUUCUAUUCUAUCGUGAGCUGUUUCUAAACAUAGAUUUAUUUGAAUGAAACGACAGAUGAAAAAAAAAAUUAUAUUGAAAAUGAAGAAAAUGGCAUCGACGGUCAUCUCAUCUUCUACGUCAAAAAUGUUCUCAACAGAUCUAAAAUCUGAAUCAGACUCCAUAUGAAAAAACAAUUUGUGAAAUUCAUGUACACUUCGAAAAGUGCAUUUCCACUCGUCUGAGGAAAAAUCAAUUGCGAUAUUUUGGUGAGAAAAGAAGUGUUCGUACGUUCGAAAAAUCAAUGCGGCUGAUCGAUCGACAUCGAAAAUACACAAUUUCGUUCCCAGAUUCAUACGCACUCAACGUUAAAAAGGCUGACAUCUACAAUGAUCGGCAAGUAUUGGUGUUUCCGUGCUCAGAUACCUUAUUCAGUUUAUUUAUCAAGAAGGGCAUAGAAAAUUGCUUAAUUUUGAUCAUCUCGCACACCUGGUUAUCGAUGGCUUGGACUUCAUUCUAGAAUCUAAGGUACCCAUUGAAGAAAGGCCGGAUCUUUUGAUGCGUAUACUAAUCACAUCAAGCCUGACAGUUCGCUGUUUUUCAUUCAAGGAAAUGUACAAGAUUUUGUACAAUUGCGGCAGAAUGACAUAAUCGUGCAAGUUUCUCGAUCCAAUAACCGCAGACUGAUUAUUGAAUUCAGACAAUUCGGAUCGAU
rnacentral:lncRNA from 1 species